AACGAAGGGGCCAUCNUUAACACAUGCAAGUCGAGCGAACAGACCAGGAGCUUGCUCCUUUGACGUUAGCGGCGGACGGGUGAGUAACACGUGGGUAACCUACCUAUAAGACUGGGAUAACUUCGGGAAACCGGAGCUAAUACCGGAUAAUAUUUCGAACCGCAUGGUUCGAUAGUGAAAGAUGGUUUUGCUAUCACUUAUAGAUGGACCCGCGCCGUAUUAGCUAGUUGGUAAGGUAACGGCUUACCAAGGCGACGAUACGUAGCCGACCUGAGAGGGUGAUCGGCCACACUGGAACUGAGACACGGUCCAGACUCCUACGGGAGGCAGCAGUAAGGAAUCUUCCGCAAUGGGCGAAAGCCUGACGGAGCAACGCCGCGUGAGUGAUGAAGGUCUUCGGAUCGUAAAACUCUGUUAUUAGGGAAGAACAUACGAUGUAAGUAACUGUGCACGUCUUGACGGUACCUAAUCAGAAAGCCACGGCUAACUACGUGCCAGCAGCCGCGGUAAUACGUAGGUGGCAAGCGUUAUCCGGAAUUAUUGGGCGUAAAGCGCGCGUAGGCAGUUUUUUAAGUCUGAUGUGAAAGCCCACGGCUCAACCGUGGAGGGUCAUUGGAAACUGGAAAACUUGAGUGCAGAAGAGGAAAGUGGAAUUCCAUGUGUAGCGGUGAAAUGCGCAGAGAUAUGGAGGAACACCAGUGGCGAAGGCGACUUUCUGGUCUGUAACUGACGCUGAUGUGCGAAAGCGUGGGGAUCAAACAGGAUUAGAUACCCUGGUAGUCCACGCCGUAGACGAUGAGUGCUAAGUGUUAGGGGGUUUCCGCCCCUUAGUGCUGCAGCUAACGCAUUAAGCACUCCGCCUGGGGAGUACGACCGCAAGGUUGAAACUCACAGGAAUUGACGGGGACCCGCACAAGCGGUGGAGCAUGUGGUUCAUUCGAAGCAUCGCGAAGAACCUUACCAAAUCUUGACAUCCUUUGACAACUCUAGAGAUAGAGCCUUCCCCUUCGGGGGACAAAAUGACAGGUGGUGCAGGGUUGUCGUCACCUCCCGUCCCGAGAAGUUUGGGUUAAUUCCCGCAACAAGGCCACCCUUUAGGUUAUUUGCCCCCAUUAAAUUGGGGGCCCCCAAAUUGAAUGGCGGGGGAAAACCCAAGAGAAGGGGGG
rnacentral:rRNA from 1 species